GCCCCAGUAGCUCAUGGUGAACCGGCCUCACCGCCUUGGUAAGGCGGUGGUCGUGGGUUCGAAUCCCACCUGGGGCU
rnacentral:tRNA from 1 species